rnacentral:rRNA from 1 species
UAGGGAAUCUUCCGCAAUGGGCGAAAGCCUGACGGAGCAACGCCGCGUGAGUGAUGAAGGUCUUCGGAUCGUAAAACUCUGUUAUUAGGGAAGAACAAAUGUGUAAGUAACUAUGCACGUCUUGACGGUACCUAAUCAGAAAGCCACGGCUAACUACGUGCCAGCAGCCGCGGUAAUACGUAGGUGGCAAGCGUUAUCCGGAAUUAUUGGGCGUAAAGCGCGCGUAGGCGGUUUUUUAAGUCUGAUGAGAAAGCCCACGGCUCAACCGUGGAGGGUCAUUGGAAACUGGAAAACUUGAGUGCAGAAGAGGAAAGUGGAAUUCCAUGUGUAGCGGUGAAAUGCGCAGAGAUAUGGAGGAACUCCAGUGGCGAAGGCGACUUUCUGGUCUGUAACUGACGCUGAUGUGCGAAAGCGUGGGGAUCAAACAGG